GAUGAACGCUGGCGGCGUGCCUAAUACAUGCAAGUCGAGCGAACGGACGAGAAGCUUGCUUUUCUGAUGUUAGCGGCGGACGGGUGAGUAACACGUGGAUAACCUACCUAUAAGACUGGGAUAACUUCGGGAAACCGGAGCUAAUACCGGAUAAUAUUUUGAACCGCAUGGUUCAAAAGUGAAAGACGGUCUUGCUGUCACUUAUAGAUGGAUCCGCGCUGCAUUAGCUAGUUGGUAAGGUAACGGCUUACCAAGGCAACGAUGCAUAGCCGACCUGAGAGGGUGGGCGCCCACAGGGGAGGGGGAACCGGGCCCGGCCCCCUAGGGGAGGGAGAGGAAGGAAACCUCCAGAAGGGGGGAAAGGCCUAACGGAGCAGCGCGGGGUGGGUGAGAAGGGUUUUGGGAUCGAAAACCUGUUUAAUGGGGGAAAAAAAGAUGUGAAAGAAACUGUACACAUCUGGACGGUCCCUAAUAAAAAAGCCACGGAUAACUAGGUC
rnacentral:rRNA from 1 species